UACGUAGGGGGCUAGCGUUGUCCGGAUUUAUUGGGCGUAAAGAGCGUGUAGGCGGCCAGGUAGGUCUGGUGUGAAAACUCGAGGCUCAACCUCGAGAUGUCAUCGGAAACCAUCUGGCUAGAGUCCGGAAGAGGAGAGUGGAAUUCCUGGUGUAGCGGUGAAAUGCGCAGAUAUCAGGAAGAACACCUAUGGCGAAGGCAGCUCUCUGGGACGGUACUGACGCUGAGACGCGAAAAGCGUGGGGAGCGAACAGG
rnacentral:rRNA from 1 species